CCAGUGAGAGCCAAUCAGAGAGUCAGUAGAUUUAAAUUUGAAUUUUCUGUCUCUCUUACUCUUGUACGUUUUCUGCGUGGUGGGAGGCUGCCUGUGCAAGCAGCUGGAGGUGUGCGAGCGCCUUCAAGCUACUACCUAGCUCAUUGUCAGUUCAAUUUUCACAGUCACGCGGUUAGAUGCACGUGGAGAAAUCGUUUUUCAAGUACUUCAGUUUUGAGUGUUGCUACAAUGAGUGUAGUAAUAAGUAUGAAAUACAAAAGUGGAAUUGUGGCGAAUUCCUAAAAAUUUUUGAAGGUAAAGAAAGUAUUUUCUAUUAAUAAUUUUUGGCUUUUCGUUGUGCAGAGGUUAUGUUUAAACUUCCAUACAUUAUAUUUUUUAUUUUUUUUCAUUUUAUUUAGAUGAGGAAAUACAAUUCUUUUCCUUCCAAGAGCUACAAGUUUUUCCGUCAGAGUAUUAUGAGUAGAGUCUGACAUUAAUAACGUUUCCACAGUUAUUCCCUCAUCUAAAUAAAAUGAAAAAAAAUAAAAAAUAUGAUGCAUGGAAGUUCAAACACAACGAAAAGCCAAAAAGUAUUAACAGAAAAUACUUUCUUAACUUCGAAAAAUUUUAGGAACAAAAUAGUUAAAAAUAGAAAUUAAUUUAACCAAAAUAUUUACUAGAACCCCAUGGCACACGAUAUUUUGCACAAAGGAAUGAAUUUCGCUCUUUUUUUAUGUCAGGAAGAAGGGGCAAAAAAAUAAACGGUAAAUCCCUGCUAUUUUGACGCUUUUUCAUAUCCUUCCAAUGUAAAGUCACUGCUUGUCUAUCUUUCCGAUUUUGACUCCUGGGACUUAAACGAGGCGAGGAUUUCACUUUGGAGCAAGAAGAUGAUUCAUAGCCGAUGUUGGAGGUGGAACCAAAGACUGUCUCGCACAAGCAGCUGUUAAAUACUUUAAUUUUUAAUCUUUUAUCAUAAAUAAAUUAUUAAAGUUUAUGGACAAUAAAUUGGACAAACUAUAGAAUAACUUAAA